CCAGUCGCCUCCAGCGGCUCAGCUCCAAAGACGCCCCGCAUGCCGCAGCAGGCCUCUGAGCUCCAGUGGCUCUCAAACACCUGCAUUGCUUUCCAAGAGUAACCGCACACGUAGCGUAAAAUUUGAAAUCCUGAUCUGGCAGGCGGAGAGGCAAGGGUUGCACUAAAAAUCAGUUUUCUACUUUUCUUUCUUUCUUUUUUUUUUUAAAGAAGAACAGGUUGAAAAUAAUCUUCUCUCCUGGUGGUGAAGAAUACUUAAUGCUCAGUCAUCUCUGUGCUCCUACCUGGCUACAGGGUUCUAUAAAUGGAUCAGAAAAACAUCCCCGUGAGCAUGCUGAAAGGGACUUGAAGGCAUUUGGACUUUGCUCUCCAGCAUAAACUCCAUAGUGGUGUCAGUGGUGCAGUGCAGACCGACGCCAGGCACUGCCUGUCACCACAGCGGCUGGGAGUCCUGGCUGGCGAUCUCGGCCUGCUCCUGUUCCUAAGAGCAGGGCCUUCAACGCAGCCCUAAAGGGCCUGGGCUGCCACAGAGGUAAGUUCUAAAAAAUCUUAAACCAUCAA